rnacentral:misc_RNA from 1 species
AUUGGGAUCUCCUUUCUGAAUGAUAUUCAACUUGAGACGAAAUAAACAAUCCAGAACUGCAAAGUAAACCUCCUACAACGAUAAAAGUAACUGAAAACAAAAGGAGAUUCUGUUCUGAAAUACACGGACAAUCUGAAGGGAAGAGGAAAACAUAAAUGUUCACAUUUAAUAGAAAGAUUUAGCAUUCAAAGAGGGUUUCAAUUUGUAUCCUG